AGUGAACGCUGGCGGUAGGCCUAACACAUGCAAGUCGAACGGCAGCACAGUAAGAGCUUGCUCUUACGGGUGGCGAGUGGCGGACGGGUGAGGAAUACACCGGAAUCUACUUUUUCGUGGGGGAUAACGUAGGGAAACUUACGCUAAUACCGCAUACGACCUACGGGUGAAAGCAGGGGAUCUUCGGACCUUGCGCGAUUGAAUGAGCCGAUGUCGGAUUAGCUAGUUGGCGGGGUAAAGGCACACCAAGGCGACGAUCCGUAGCUGGUCUGAGAGGAUGAUCAGCCACACUGGAACUGAGACACGGUCCAGACUCCUACGGGAGGCAGCAGUGGGGAAUAUUGGACAAUGGGCGCAAGCCUGAUCCAGCCAUACCGCGUGGGUGAAGAAGGCCUUCGGGUUGUAAAGCCCUUUUGUUGGGAAAGAAAAGCAGCAGGUUAAUACCCCGCUGUUCUGACGGUACCCAAAGAAUGAGCACCGGCUAACUUCGUG
rnacentral:rRNA from 1 species